GAUGAACGCUGGCGGCGUGCCUAAUACAUGCAAGUCGAGCGAACGGACGAGAAGCUUGCUUCUCUGAUGUUAGCGGCGGACGGGUGAGUAACACGUGGAUAACCUACCUAUAAGACUGGGAUAACUUCGGGAAACCGGAGCUAAUACCGGAUAAUAUUUUGAACCGCAUGGUUCAAAAGUGAAAGACGGUCUUGCUGUCACUUAUAGAUGGAUCCGCGCUGCAUUAGCUAGUUAGUAAGGUAACGGCUUACCAAGGCAACGAUGCAUAGCCGACCUGAGAGGGUGAUCGGCCACACUGGAACUGAGACACGGUCCAGACUCCUACGGGAGGCAGCAGUAGGGAAUCUUCCGCAAUGGGCGAAAGCCUGACGGAGCAACGCCGCGUGAGUGAUGAAGGUCUUCGGAUCGCAAAACUCUGUUAUUAGGGAAGAACAUAUGUGUAAGUAACUGUGCACAUCUUGACGGUACCUAAUCAGAAAGCCACGGCUAACUACGUG
rnacentral:rRNA from 1 species